UACAGAGGGUGCAAGCGUUAAUCGGAAUUACUGGGCGUAAAGGGUGCGUAGGCGGCGCGGUAAGUCGGAUGUGAAAUCUUGGAGCUUAACUCCGAAACUGCAUUCGAUACUGCCGUGCUUGAGGACUGGAGAGGAGACUGGAAUUUACGGUGUAGCGGUGAAAUGCGUAGAUAUCGGGAGGAACACCAGUGGCGAAGGCGGCACUCUGGGCCGGAACUGACGCUGAGGAGCGAAAGCGUGGGUAGCAAACAGG
rnacentral:rRNA from 1 species